rnacentral:lncRNA from 1 species
AGGCUGCUGUUAGGAUAUUGUUAGGCUGCUGUUAGGAUAUUGUUAGGCUGCUGUUAGGAUAUUGUUAGGAUGCUGUUAGGUUUUGUUAGGUUGCUGUUAGGAUGCUGUUAGGCUGCUAUUAGGAUGCUGUUAGAUGCUGUUAGGCUGCUGUUAGGAUGCUGUUAGGAUGCUGUUAGGUUGCUGAUAGGAUGCUGUUAGGUUGCUGUUAGGGUGCUAUUAGAAUGCUGUUAGGAUGCUGUUAGGUUGCUGUUAGGGUGCUUUUAGAAUGCUGUUAGGCUGCUGUUAGGCUGCUGUUAUGAUGCUGUUAGGAUGCUGUUAGGCUGCUGUUAGGUUGCUGUUAGGUUGCUAUUAGAAUGCUGUUAGGCUGCUGUUAUGAUGCUGUUAGGAUGCUGUUAGGAUGCUGUUAGGUUGCCGUUAGGUUGCUGUUAGGUUGCUGUUAGGAUGCUGUUAACAUGCUGUUAGGAUGCUGUUAGGCUUAUUUUAGGAUGAUUUAGGCUGCUGUUGGGAUGCUGUUAGGAUGCUGUUAUGCCUGCUGUUAGGAUGCUGUUAGGUUGCUGUUAGGAUGCUAUUAGAAUGCUGUUAGGCUGCAGUUAGGAUAGUGUUAGGAUGCUGUUAGGAUGCUGUUCGGAUGCUGUUAGGAUGCUGUUAGGUUGCUGUUAGGAUGCUGUUAGGUUGCUAUUAGAAUGCUGUUAGGCUGAUGUUAGGAUAUUGUUAGGAUGCUGUUAGGCUGCUCAUGGGCUGCUGUUACGUUGCCGUUAGGUUGCCGUUAGUUUGCUGUUAGGUUGAUGUUAGGAUGCUAUUAGAAUGCUGUUAGGAUGCUGUUAGGUUGCUGUUAGGGUGCUAUUAGAAUGCUGUUAGGAUGCUGUUAGGUUGCUGUUAGGGUGCUUUUAGAAUGCUGUUAGGCUGCUGUUAUGAUGCUGUUAGGAUGCUGUUAGGCUGCUGUUAGGUUGCUGUUAGGUUGCUAUUAGAAUGCUGUUAGGCUGCUGUUAUGAUGCUGUUAGGAUGCUGUUAGGAUGCUGUUAGGUUGCCGUUAGGUUGCUGUUAGGUUGCUGUUAGGAUGCUGUUAACAUGCUGUUAGGAUGCUGUUAG